rnacentral:tRNA from 1 species
GGAUCGAUAGCUGAGACGGUUUAGCGCCAGGCUGAAAACCUGGAGACGAGGAUUCGAGCACCUCUCGAUCCA